ensembl:miRNA cin-mir-92a cin-mir-92a
GAAGCUUUAGUGAAGUUUGAUUAUAUAUUACUCGACGGCUGGUACAAGAGCACGAUCGAUUAGGAUAUUGCACUUGUCCCGGUCUUAGGGUGGUAUAAAAA